GAGGCUGACGCGUCACAUUCCGCCUCGACGCGUCCGGGAUCCUCGCAACCAGCGCCGCCGCCGGGAGGAUGCGCCGCCGGCCCCUGGCCCGGAGAGGCAGAGCGGGGAGACGAUGAAGGAGCGGCCCCCUCGGCUCCUCCUCCUCCUGGCCUCCUGCUUCCUCCUCGGAUGCGGAUUCCUCAGUUUUCCCAGCUGGCAUGUCUCUUGUAAAGAAGGUCCUUCAACUACAUAUUUGUUUUCACCAAAUGAGAACUUUCCCUUGGCAAACAUGGAUGAGAACAUUAAGGAAAAGGAGGAGACUGACAAGAUCUAUUGAAACACUCUCUUUAGAACAUAUUUAUUCUGUCAUAAAUACUUAUCCCGAGGAAUACUCUGUGAAUACACACAAGCAAACAGAGG